AUGAAGCCCAGCUUGCUGGGUGGAUUAGUGGCGAACGGGUGAGUAACACGUGAGCAACCUGCCCCUGACUCUGGGAUAAGCGCUGGAAACGGCGUCUAAUACUGGAUACGAGUGAUGAUCGCAUGAUCAGUUACUGGAAAGAUUUUUUGGUUGGGGAUGGGCUCGCGGCCUAUCAGCUUGUUGGUGAGGUAAUGGCUCACCAAGGCGUCGACGGGUAGCCGGCCUGAGAGGGUGACCGGCCACACUGGGACUGAGACACGGCCCAGACUCCUACGGGAGGCAGCAGUGGGGAAUAUUGCACAAUGGGCGCAAGCCUGAUGCAGCAACGCCGCGUGAGGGAUGACGGCCUUCGGGUUGUAAACCUCUUUUAGCAGGGAAGAAGCGAAAGUGACGGUACCUGCAGAAAAAGCACCGGCUAACUACGUGCCAGCAGCCGCGGUAAUACGUAGGGUGCAAGCGUUAUCCGGAAUUAUUGGGCGUAAAGAGCUCGUAGGCGGUUUGUCGCGUCUGCUGUGAAAUCUGGAGGCUCAACCUCCAGCCUGCAGUGGGUACGGGCAGACUAGAGUGCGGUAGGGGAGAUUGGAAUUCCUGGUGUAGCGGUGGAAUGCGCAGAUAUCAGGAGGAACACCGAUGGCGAAGGCAGAUCUCUGGGCCGUUACUGACGCUGAGGAGCGAAAGGGUGGGGAGCAAACAGGCUUAGAUACCCUGGUAGUCCACCCCGUAAACGUUGGGAACUAGUUGUGGGGUCCAUUCCACGGAUUCCGUGACGCAGCUAACGCAUUAAGUUCCCCGCCUGGGGAGUACGGCCGCAAGGCUAAAACUCAAAGGAAUUGACGGGGACCCGCACAAGCGGCGGAGCAUGCGGAUUAAUUCGAUGCAACGCGAAGAACCUUACCAAGGCUUGACAUAUACGAGAACGGGCCAGAAAUGGUCAACUCUUUGGACACUCGUAAACAGGUGGUGCAUGGUUGUCGUCAGCUCGUGUCGUGAGAUGUUGGGUUAAGUCCCGCAACGAGCGCAACCCUCGUUCUAUGUUGCCAGCACGUAAUGGUGGGAACUCAUGGGAUACUGCCGGGGUCAACUCGGAGGAAGGUGGGGGAUGACGUCAAAUCAUCAUGCCCCUUAUGUCUUGGGCUUCACGCAUGCUACAAUGGCCGGUACAAUGGGCAGCAAUACCGUGAGGUGGAGCGAAUCCCAAAAAGCCGGUCCCAGUUCGGAUUGAGGUCUGCAACUCGACCUCAUGAAGUCGGAGUCGCUAGUAAUCGCAGAUCAGCAACGCUGCGGUGAAUACGUUCCCGGGUCUUGUACACACCGCCCGUCAAGUCAUGAAAGUCGGUAACACCUGAAGCCGGUGGCCUAACCCCUUGUGGGAGGAGCUGUCGA
rnacentral:rRNA from 1 species